CUACGGGCUGCUCCAGUGGGGAAUAUUGGACAAUGGGGGAAACCCUGAUCCAGCAAUGCCGCGUGUGUGAAGAAGGCCUGUGGGUUGUAAAGCACUUUCGGUUGGGAGGACUGCUUCUAGCACUAAUAUUGUUGGAAGUUGACGUUACCUUCAGAAGAAGCACCGGCUACUCCGUGCCAGCAGCCGCGGUAAUACGGAGGGUGCAAGCGUUAAUCGGAAUUACUGGGCGUAAAGCGCGCGUAGGCGGCUAGAUCAGUCGGGUGUGAAAGCCCCGGGCUUAACCUGGGAACUGCAUCCGAUACUGUCUAGCUUGAGUACAGGAGAGGAGAGUGGAAUUCCACAUGUAGCGGUGAAAUGCGUAGAUAUGUGGAGGAACACCAAUGGCGAAGGCAGCUCUCUGGCCUGAUACUGACGCUGAGGUGCGAAAGCAUGGGGAGCAAACAGGAUUAGAUACCCUGGUAGUC
rnacentral:rRNA from 1 species